rnacentral:rRNA from 1 species
GAUGAACGCUAGCGGCAGGCUUAAUACAUGCAAGUCGUGGGGCAGCAGGUCUGUAGCAAUACAGAUGCUGGCGACCGGCAAACGGGUGCGUAACACGUACGCAACCUUCCCGUUACUGGGGAAUAGCCCAGGGAAACUUGGAUUAAUACCCCAUAUUAUAUUGGUUAGGCAUCUGACUGAUAUCAAAGCUUCGGCGGUAACGGAUGGGCGUGCGGUUGAUUAGGUAGUUGGCGGGGUAACGGCCCACCAAGCCUACGAUCAAUAGCUGAUGUGAGAGCAUGAUCAGCCACACGGGCACUGAGACACGGGCCCGACUCCUACGGGAGGCAGCAGUAAGGAAUAUUGGGCAAUGGACGAAAGUCUGACCCAGCCAUGCCGCGUGAAGGAUGAAGGUCCUCUGGAUUGUAAACUUCUUUUAUCUGGAGCGAAAAUCGGUUAUUCUUAGCCGCUUGACAGUACCAGAUGAAUAAGCACCGGCUAACUCCGUGCCAGCCGCCGCUGUAAGAC